AGAGGCUUAGGAUAAAUUAAACCAAGAGCCUUCAAAGCUCUAAACGGGGGUGGAAAUCCCCCAGCCCCUG
rnacentral:tRNA from 1 species